rnacentral:rRNA from 1 species
CGANUAGCUCAUUACANUAGCCGUUGUUUCUUGGAUCCUCAAUUUACUUGGAUACCUGUGGUAAUUCUAGAGCUAAUACAUGCGACUAAGGGCCGAACUCACGUGACGCUUGCAUUUAUUAGAUCAAGACUAACCGGCUUCGGCCGUUAACUUGGUGACUCUGAAUAACUCAGCUGAUCGCACGGUCUAGUGCCGGCGACAUAUCUUUCAAGUGUCUACCUUAUCAACUGUCGAUGGUAGUUUAUGUGACUACCAUGGUUGUAACGGGUAACGGAGAAUCAGGGUUUGACUCCGGAGAGGGAGCCUGAGAAACGGCUACCACUUCUAAGGAAGGCAGCAGGCGCGCAAAUUACACAAUCUCAGCACGAGGAUGUAGUGACGAAACAUACCGAGGCGAUGCCCUUUCGGGUGUCGUCAUUGGAAUGAGUCGAAUCUAAAAAAUUCGGCAAGGAUCUAGUGGAGGGCAAGUCUGGUGCCAGCAGCCGCGGUAAUUCCAGCUCCGCAAGUGUAUAUCUAUGCUGUUGCGGUUAAAAAGCUCGUAGUUUGAUUCGCGUACUUAGCACGCAGUGUGGCCUUUCGGCUACUACUGUGAUGCGGUACAUUAUCGUCAGUUUGUCGUUGAUGCUCUUCAUUGGGUGUCAGCGGCGGCUGUCAAGUUUACUUUGAACAAAUUAAAGUGCUCAAUACAGGCGUUUCGCUUGUAUAGUUCUGCAUGGAAUAAUAGAAUAGGACUUACGUUCUAUUGUGUUGGUUUUCAGAACGAAAGUAAUGAUUAAGAGGGACAGACGGGGUCAUUCGUACUGCCACGUUAGAGGUGAAAUUCUUGGAUCGUGGCAAGACGAACUACUGCGAAAGCAUUUGACAAGAAUGUUUUCAUUAAUCAAGAACGAAAGUUAUGGGUC